rnacentral:tRNA from 1 species
GGGGUUGUGGCUCAGUGGUGGAGUACUUGCCUACCAUGCAUGAGGCACUGGGUUUGAACCUCAGCACCA